ensembl:lincRNA
UUCACAUGCUCAUGGCUGUUCAGAGAUGAAAAGCUUGGAGGUUCCAGGUGUUCAUUAGGAGAUGCAGCAGGUUAUAAACCAUAACUCAGGAAAGAGGAAUAGUGGGGGGCAGCAAGCAGGAGACAACGCAGCACAAAGAAUCCCCAAGAAAGGUGAUCAACAGAUCCAGACCAACAGAGCCAAAGGAGCACAAGCACCUCGGGACUCCAAUCACUUUGCCCUCCUCAGCAGCAUCUGGCAGUUCUCUCCCAAGCAGCUGUGAUGUAGAGGAAAGAACACAAAAUUUAAAGUCAAACCAACCGGGGUUCAAGGAUUUGUUCUACCCCUUGCUGGCUCCAACUGUACCCUGGAUACCUGUCUUAGUAAAACCAAGAAGACAUCACCUACCUCUUCUGGAGGCUGAGGAUCAAAAGAGUAACUCAUGUGAAGUUUUUAUAUUUGUAAUAGGAGAAAGCACCAAUAUGCAAAGGAAGCUCGAAUCUCACCUCCCAAGGGAAAAAGACAUUCUACAGAGAAAAUUAGAAUUGUGCCAAAAGGGCAAAUCUCCAAAGGCACAAGAGGCCUUAGAGAAUAGAAGGAAGUAACAAGAGGAAAAUUCCCUAAGAAUAUGAAUGCAUUACCUUCACCAUCCUCGGCCAUCUUUCACUCAUUCAGAAGGUCGUUGGUAAUGGGACAGCCUAUGUUAUAAUAUGUCUCUUUUCACUGGAGAUAACCUCAAGAAGUCCCAGAGUGUGACGUGAUAGACAUGGAAAGAAAUUACAUAUGAUCAGCCAAAGGUGAGGACUACAAAGCACAACGGGUCAGAGAGGCAACCUGGAGUCACAGAAAGCACCCAGUGUGAAGGAGGGGAAAGCUGGGCUCUGGGCUCUUCCACCUCUUGGGUGAAGCUACUUUAUCACCAGAAUCUCACUUCUGCCAUCUGUAAAAUGUUCUACUGCACUCCAUGGCUAAGAUCUCGUCCUAUACCAAAAUCCUAACAUUAAAAUGCUUCAAUGACUCAAAUAUUCUCUUCUGUGAUUCUGCUAUAGCUAAGAACAGCACCUGGAGGAAAAGGAGAAAUAAAGGUUCGACCAAGAGACUGGUAUCCUAAGGCAGAUAACGUGAGACUGUAACUGCCCUGUGUCCUGGAGUUGUUCACUAGGAUCUGCUUUGUACUUUUAUUUUUCUUUAUCCCCCAUGGUACCUACUGGUGCCUUGUAAGCAGACACAAGAAGAGGAGAAGGAGGGUAGGGAAGGAGGCUCCUAAACUUCUUGAGCCAUAGCUGAAAACAUAAAGGCAGGAGACAAAACAAAACUACCAAGAAUAGUGUGUAAUGGGAACUAAAUAUUCUCUUUAAAGAUCAAAAACCUCCAAGAAGAUGGAAGUUUUAUUUAAGCCUUCAGAUCCCCAUCACUUGUGGAUCAUGUAGCUUUAAAAAACAUUCUCUGCCCUCAUUCUUCUGGAAGAUUGAGACCUUCCUCUGGCCUAAGGACACAUCCUCUCUCCUCCGUUUUCCCCUCGUUGAUCUUUCAGUGGGUAUGACAGUCACAAAAUAAGGGUUCUGGAGAAGUGUGGGAGAAAGGGCAUCAUCCUCAUCAUCUAAGGCUGUGCUCAUUCUGUUUGAGUUUGCUUUCAACAGGUUUCUUUAGGCAAUCUGAUCAUUUCACGCUCCUCCAUCAGAUUUCCGUCUUUUAGUCCUGAUUUUUUGUUUGCUGCUAUUAUUUUGAUAAAACUACAACAGGGUUUCAAGGUGGUUGAUUUUUGUUUUGUUUUGUUUUGUUUUGUUUUUUGAGACGGAUUCUCACUCUGUCACCAAGGCUGAAGUACAAUGGCAUGAUCUUGGCUCACUGCAACCUCCACCUCCCAGGUUCAAGUGAUUCUCCUGCCUCAGUCUCCCAAGUAGCUGGGAUUACAGGUAUGUGCCACCAUGCCUGGC